rnacentral:rRNA from 1 species
UACGUAGGGACCGAGCGUUGUCCGGAAUCAUUGGGCGUAAAGAGCGUGUAGGCGGCCACUUAAGUCCUGCGCGAAAUCUUGCGGCUCAACCGCAAGCGGUCGUGGGAAACUGGGUGGCUAGAGUGCGGGAGAGGAGAGUGGAAUUCCUGGUGUAGCGGUGGAAUGCGCAGAUAUCAGGAAGAACACCCGUGGCGAAGGCGGCUCUCUGGAACGCAACUGACGCUGAGACGCGAAAGCGUGGGGAGCAAACAGG